CGUGUAGGCGGCUUUGCAAGUCGGGUGUGAAAGCCCUCAGCUCAACUGAGGAAGUGCGCCCGAAACUGCAGAGCUUGAGUGCCGGAGAGGGUGGCGGAAUUCCCCAAGUAGAGGUGAAAUUCGUAGAUAUGGGGAGGAACACCGGUGGCGAAGGCGGCCACCUGGACGGCAACUGACGCUGAGACGCGAAAGCGUGGGGAGCAAACA
rnacentral:rRNA from 1 species